UACAGAGGGGGCAAGCGUUGUUCGGAAUUACUGGGCGUAAAGGGCGCGUAGGCGGCCUGCUAAGUCGAACGUGAAAUCCCCGGGCUCAACCCGGGAACUGCGUCCGAUACUGGUAGGCUUGAAUCCGGGAGAGGGAUGCGGAAUUCCAGGUGUAGCGGUGAAAUGCGUAGAUAUCGAGAGGAACACCAGUGGCGAAGGCGGCUGACUGGUCCGGUUCUGACGCUGAGGCGCGAAAGCGUGGGGAGCAACAGG
rnacentral:rRNA from 1 species